GACGAACGCUGGCGGCGUGCUUAACACAUGCAAGUCGAACGAGACGAUUUAGAAGCUUGCUUUUAUUGAGUCGAGUGGCAAACGGGUGAGUAACGCGUAGACAACCUGCCGCAAAGAUGGGGACAACAGUCCGAAAGGACUGCUAAUACCGAAUGUUGUAUCUCCUCCGCAUGGAAGAGAUAUUAAAGAUGGCCUCUACUUGUAAGCUAUCGCUUUGCGAUGGGUCUGCGUCUGAUUAGCUAGUUGGUGGGGCAAACGGCCUACCAAGGCGACGAUCAGUAGCCGGUCUGGAGAGGAUGAACGGCCACAUUGGAACUGAGACACGGUCCA
rnacentral:rRNA from 1 species